GACGAACCGUGCGAACGUUAUCCGGAAUCACUGGGCUUAAAGCGCGUGUAGGCGGAUGGGAACGUCGGUCGUUGAAAGCCCCCGGCUCAACCGGGGAAUGGGCGCCGAAACGGCCCGUCUGGAGGGACGUAGGGGGACCUGGAACUUCCGGUGGAGCGGUGAAAUGCGUUGAGAUCGGAAGGAACGCCCGUGGCGAAAGCGAGGUCCUGGACGUCUGCUGACGCUGAGACGCGAAAGCUAGGGGAGCGAACGGG
rnacentral:rRNA from 1 species